rnacentral:rRNA from 1 species
CGGUGUGCUUAACACAUGCAAGUCGAACGAGAACGGUCUUUAGCUUGCUAAAGAUGUCAGCUAAGUGGCGCACGGGUGAGUAAUGUAUAGGUAACGUGCCUCUUACUAAGGGAUAACUAUUAGAAAUGAUAGCUAAUACCUUAUACUUCUAAUUAACAUAAGUUACUUAGAGAAAGUUUUUUCGGUAAGAGAUCGGCCUGUAUUGUAUCAGCUAGUUGGUAAGGUAAAGGCUUACCAAGGCAAUGACACAUAACUGGUUUGAGAGGAUGAUCAGUCACACUGGAACUGAGACACGGUCCAGACUCCUACGGAAGGCAGCAGUGGGGAAUAUUGCACAAUGGGCGAAAGCCUGAUGCAGCAACGCCGCGUGGAGGAUGACACUUUUCGGAGCGUAAACUCCUUUUAUAUAGGAUGAUA